rnacentral:lncRNA from 1 species
ACUUGCACUUUUGAUACUCAAGCACGCUUGUUAUCGACUGGUGUCGAAUAGUCCGACUUCAAAAGGAGGACGUGAACGCGGCACGAGAGGCGAGUCUCCGCUGAGGUGAGCGGAGAGGAGCCGAGAGGAUCCUGAGCUGAUGAGGUGAGACUGCACAGCCUCGAACAUGUGGACGGAGGUGAAGAACAGGAGCAGGACGGUCAGCAGCAGCAGCUCGAACAGCUCGAAGAUGGUUGAGCCACAUCUCCUUACAGGGCAGCUUUUACACACAGUUCAACAGAGGAAUGGUUCAACUGCAGAUGCCACUUCUCGCUCAGAGGACUCCGUGGCCAAGACCAGUGGGAUCAUCCCUGCUGCAGUUGCUGCCACGCUGUUCAUCGCCUUCAUACUUGCUCUCUACACUGUCCUCUGGAGGUGCAUGGUGUCGCCACCACAGCGAAAGCACAGCAGGGUGAGAAUGAGAGGACAACCGAGGGUUUCUGUGUGA